rnacentral:rRNA from 1 species
CCUACGGGUGGCAGCAGUGAGGAAUAUUGGUCAAUGGGCGGGAGCCUGAACCAGCCAAGCCGCGUGAGGGAAGAAGGUACAGCGUAUCGUAAACCUCUUUUGUCAGGGAACAAAGGCGGGGACUAGUCCCCGGAUGAGGGUACCUGAAGAAAAAGCAUCGGCUAACUCCGUGCCAGCAGCCGCGGUAAUACGGAGGAUGCGAGCGUUAUCCGGAUUUAUUGGGUUUAAAGGGUGCGUAGGCGGAAUGCCAAGUCAGCGGUAAAAUCGCGGGGCUCAACCUCGCUCCGCCGUUGAAACUGGCGUUCUUGAGUGGGCGAGAAGUAUGCGGAAUGCGUGGUGUAGCGGUGAAAUGCAUAGAUAUCACGCAGAACUCCGAUUGCGAAGGCAGCAUACCGGCGCCCAACUGACGCUGAAGCACGAAAGCGUGGGUAUCGAACAGGAUUAGAUACCCGAGUAGUC